GACAGAGGGUGCAAACGUUGUUCGGAAUUACUGGGCGUAAAGCGUGUGUAGGCGGCCUUAUAAGUCGGAUGUGAAAGCCCCGGGCUCAACCCGGGAAGUGCACUCGAUACUGUGAGGCUCGAGUAUCGGAGAGGUUGGUGGAAUUCUCGGUGUAGAGGUGAAAUUCGUAGAUAUUCGCAAGAACACCAGUGGCGAAGGCGGCUCACUGGCCCGGUACUGACGCUGAGGUGCGAAAGCGUGGGGAGCAAACAGG
rnacentral:rRNA from 1 species